GGCAGCGCAGCAGCACCACCACGCGGCGCAGCGAGGGACCCCCGCCGGGCUCCGCGCCCCCCUCUCCGCCCCCCACCGGAACCCUCUGCUCAGUCCAGAUCGCUCGCGGCUUCCCGUGUCCAUCCUGCCUGGGAGGGCGCCACCAAACGCAGGCCCUCCGAGGCUGCUCCGUAGCCCACGCUCCCCAACACAAAUAGCUCCACUUGUAAAGAAAAAGUCACUCCUGGCAGCAUUAGCCUCCCACAGAGAAAACGGCGUUACCGGGCUUCCCGCGGCGAAAAUGGAGUUUUGGCCCCUCAGAAGGGUUAAGCGCCACUAAACUAAACAUUUCUUCACAGAUGCUAGAAAUGCACAGCAGUUGGCGGAGCUGGGACAUUUGUUUUGACACGUAGCAAUGGUAGCUUUUGAAUAGGACAAAGUGGGAGGAAAGGGAAUAAUAGUUCAUUAUAAGGAUGGUGGCUUCGGGAAACAUUCCUGCAGAGGGGAGGGCCUCUUGUAGCAGCAUAUCCAGGGAAUGCAUCUAUUUCCUAGAUUUCCUAGAAAGCAGCUGCCUUCUUUUGGGGUUAUCGUUCCACUCUUCACUGGGCGUGUGUUCCAGUGAUCUGAACGCUGGGUGAGAACCAGACGCGAAGAGCUUGUUCUCUGGCCAUCGGUCUGCCAGGCACUCGGGGAGAGACGUGCUUGUACCUGGGCUGACUGAGGGCUUCCUUUCCCCAGGUCCUCAAAGCCAGGACCUGACAGGUUUGGAAAAAUAACGGGGGUGCUUUUAUGCCUAAUUUCAAGCUUACAUGGCCACCGCCAUGUUUCAGAGCCAAGGCAGAAGUUUCCAAGACUGGGUGGCUGGGUCCUUUCUGCAGCUAAGAAGAGGAGAAUGUCCAUCUCUGACUUUCUAUAGGACAGGCCCAAGGUCACUCUGAUGCACCCCAGCUCUGUGUAUCCUCAGGGUUGUGCAGUGUUUUCACAGGGCUUUUGACUGCUGUUCCACAGAAAGCCAGAGAGCUGGACAAAAACAAGGCCCGUCCGCACCCUGAGCCACCACUCCAUGCCCCUGAGGAUCAGAGUGAAGGGGGCAGAACUGAGCACAGAAGCCCUCCAGGGGGACUCUGAUGCACUCCACAAAGCCCUCACCAUUCUUAGAGACCUCCACUCUGCUUUCUUAACCUGGGAAGACAUGGGAGUGUUCUCCCCCAUUGCCUUUCUAAAAGGCUAGAUUCUAACCUUGUUUAAAGCACUUCAUAAUAGAACCUGAUUAAAAACCUAAUCAAAUCUAAAAUGGGGCCACGUCCAGAGAGAAUGUGGGUUUUGAAAACCGUUUAAGAACCAGAGGAAUCACCACUGAAUUUUGUUGUUAAGCUGGUGAAUUCAUUUGAUGUUGCACAGUAGCUUCAGAGGUCUGAGGCUGCAGAGGCAAACCCCUGUCCAUCAGCACUGAAUGUUUUCGGGAGCCCAGCCUAGGGGUGCACAGGCCUUCCGGCUCUCAGCGCUAGCCAGAGUCUUAGCCGAGAUCCACACGCCUCUGCCCACAAUGUGGCUUCUUUUCCAAAAUGCACCCUGCCUCACUGAGAACAGUCUCCCUUCCUCUGCACAUUCCAUACCCUCCAGCUGGGUAGACUUGAUGCAGCCUGGCCAGAAACUGGAGAAUUUGCCCUACCCUCCCCCUUUCUUUUCUGAAGCCUGGAUUUAGUGAUCUCCACUGAAGUUAGACUAUAACUUCCUUGGGGCCCUACAUUUGCUGCUAGCCCAUUGCAGCCAACCAGAAGCCUUGGGGGUACAGGGAAUUUGUGGGCCACAUACCAUCUUGUCCUCUCAGACUGGUCACCACCUGCUGACCCCAGUCAGCACUCCUGGGAGAGCUGGGUUUAGAAGGGAGAUUUCCUCAGUAAAAUUUAAUACCAAAUAGAACAGUGGUUCUUGAAGUGUGGUCCCUGGACCAGCAGCACCAAGGAGCUAGUUAGAGAGGCAAGUCCUCCAGCCCUGCUGGAUUGGAAACUCUGGGGUGGGGCCCAGCAAUCUGUGUGUUAAGCCCUCCCGGGGAUCUGAUGCUGGCUCAAGUUUAAGAACCACUGAAAUAGAGUUAAAGAGGGCAAAUAAAUAAAUACAAGCAUCAAAUGAUGAAAUGGUGAGGUAGUAGACGGUCUCUGCCUACUGUUUUGUUUGCAACAUACAGUAAGUGCCCUAAUUUUUUUUAAAAAGUGAACUUUAAAAGCAAACCCCCAAGUGUUCUGGGGCUGUGGGAACCCACCAUGUCCCUUCUUCACUUGAAUACCCGCACAUGGGACAUCUUCCCCGAUCCCCCAAAGCAGAGAAGUUGCAAGGUAAAAGUCAAUUUCCCCCAACUUAAAGGCUUAGAUGAUAUAUUUUUCUCAUAAUUUGUUUAAUUCUUAACAGUACAUGGCACAUUUUAAGUGCUUUACAGUUCUUUAAUCUGAGCUCACAAUAACCCACACAAGGAGCUAGAGGCAGACAGAGGUUAAGGAACCUGCCUCCAGAGGUGUGAGCAUCUCCACGCUGGAGCAGAGAGAUUUGAGCCCCUGUGGUGCCUCCACAUCUGCUUUUGAUUUGCUACCUCCACAGUGAACAAAUGGGAACUAGAAAAGUCAGCUGUGCCCAGCUCAGAGCACUCUGAGUCCAUCUGAGCAAUGAAAAGCCGUUGACAGUUGGCAGCUAACUUGGGAAAAGCCUGAACCUAAAAUGUGUAGCACCUUAAAGACUAAACUGACUGGGCAGUAAUUUCAUUCAAACUCGAAAAACUUUCUUUUGCCUUGAGGUGGGUUCCAUUUUUUGGAGGUGAUCCUUGAGACUCAGGAAGGUUAAGUAUAACCCGCCCUUGGCCACACAGCUGGGCCCUCUAGUUCCAGAACCUCUAGUUCUCCAGAACAAGGACUGACCACAGCUAGCCUUCUGGCAUUAACUGCAUGCCAGGCACUUCACCUGCAUCAUCUCAUUUAGCCUCACAGCAGCCUGGGGACAGGUACUGUAGUUCCCAUUUUUCAGGCGAGAAAAUGGUUCAGAGAGGUUGAGAGACUUGCUCAAGGUCACACAGCUGGUGAGUGGGUUGUGGGCUGCUAACCCUGCCCAGCGGGCUUUGUCCUCCUCUCUCCUUCCUUGCAGCUCUCCUCCUCCCACUGGCUACAGAGGUGUGACCAUCCUUAAAGGUUCCCACCUAUCUCUAGCUUGAAACAUUGGAGCCCGAGGAGGCAAAGCCCUGCAGAAUAAGCAGUGGAAAAUUCAUUGGGUACCCAUGUGAGAGGAAUUUGAGUGCUCUUGCAACAACAGGUUUUCUUAUUGCAAAAGCAAUGAAUGCACAUCAUUACUUUGGAAGAUAAAGAACUUUAAAUCUCUGUAAUCCCAUCACAUAGAAGUAACCACUGUUUAUUCCUGAUUUAUUAUCCUUCCAGAUUUUCUUGUUUGUAUUUUUUAACACAGAUGAAACUAGACAAAGAGGGGCUCUAUAAUCAGUCUUUUCACUUAUCUGCUAUUGUGAAAAAUCUUUCCAAAUCAUUAAAUGUUAUUUGCAGAAUCACUUUUGGUGUCUGUAUAUUCCACUGAAUUGGGUACCAUGAUUUGUUUACCCAGUCUCUUGUUGGGCACUUGGUUUCUCGCAUUUCAUUCUUAUAAACAUCUAACACUGGUAGCUCCUCAUAGCUAAGUCUUUGAUCCCUUCAGGGAAUUUAUCAUGAGGGAAUAAUCUUGGAGGU